AGAGUUUGAUCAUGGCUCAGAAUGAACGUUGGCGGCGUGGAUUAGGCAUGCAAGUCGAGCGGUAGGGAACUGCUCACUUCGGCCCAUUUAGCCUCCGGUCAAUGACCGGCGGCCACGUGGACGAAGUGAGCAGUUCCUGAGAGCGGCGAAAGGGAGAGUAACGCGUAGUUACGUGCCCCGAGGACCGGAAUAGCCACGGGAAACUGUGGGUAAUGCCGGAUGUUGUCUUCGGACUAAAGGGUGUGAUUCCGCCUUGGGAGCGGACUGCGUUGUACUAGCUAGUUGGUAGGGUAAUGGCCUACCAAGGCGAUGAUGCAUAGCGGGUGUGAGAGCAUGACCCGUCUCACUGGGACUGAGACACUGCCCAGACACCUACGGGUGGCUGCAGUCGAGAAUCUUCGGCAAUGAGCGAAAGCUUGACCGAGCGACGCCGCGUGCGGGAUGAAGGCCUUCGGGUUGUAAACCGCUGUCGUAGAGGAGGAAGGCUCCGUGAAGAACGGGGUUUGACCUAUUCUAGGAGGAAGGACGGGCUAAGUUCGUGCCAGCAGCCGCGGUAAUACGAACCGUCCAAACGUUAUUCGGAAUCACUGGGCUUAAAGGGUACGUAGGCGGCGCUGUCAGUCGGGUGUGAAAUCCCACGGCUCAACCGUGGAAUUGCGCCCGAUACUGCAGUGCUUGAGGGAGACAGAGGUAAGCGGAACUGAUGGUGGAGCGGUGAAAUGCGUUGAUAUCAUCAGGAACACCGGUGGCGAAAGCGGCUUACUGGGUCUCUUCUGACGCUGAGGUACGAAAGCUAGGGGAGCGAAGGGGAUUAGAUACCCCCGUAGUCCUAGCUGUAAACGUUGAGCACUUGAUCGAGGGCCCCCCCAUAGGCUCCCGGUCGUAGCGAAAGUGUUAAGUGCUCCGCCUGGGGAGUAUGGUCGCAAGGCUGAAACUUAAAGGAAUUGACGG
rnacentral:rRNA from 1 species